CGAAGGUGCAUUGUAGUCGCAUUGUCUGUCCAAAAAUUGCAUGCGGCAAUACAACUGCAGUGCAAGCUCCG
rnacentral:pre_miRNA from 13 species